AAAUGAAUAGACGGGGGCCCGCACAAGCAGUGGAGCAUGUGGUUUAAUUCGAUGCAACGCGAAGAACCUUACCUGGGCUCGAAAUUCAGAGGGCGAUAUCAGAAAUGAUAUUUUCCGCAAGGACUUCUGUAUAGGUGCUGCAUGGCUGUCGUCAGCUCGUGCCGUGAGGUGUUGGGUUAAGUCCCGCAACGAGCGCAACCCUUAUCAUUAGUUGCCAACACGUAAGGUGGGGACUCUAAUGAGACUGCCUAGGUUAACUAGGAGGAAGGUGAGGAUGACGUCAAGUCCGCAUGGCCUUUAUGUCCAGGGCUACACACGUGCUACAAUGGUCGGUACAGAGGGCUGCAAGACCGUAAGGUGGAGCAAAUCCCAGAAAGCCGAUCUCAGUUCAGAUUGUGGUCUGCAACUCGACCACAUGAAGUCGGAAUUGCUAGUAAUGGCGAGUCAGCAACAUCGCCGUGAAUACGUUCCCGGGCCUUGUACACACCGCCCGU
rnacentral:rRNA from 1 species